CGGAACGUGCCCAGUAGCGGGGGAUAACUACGCGAAAGCGUAGCUAAUACCGCAUACGCCCUUAGGGGGAAAGCAGGGGAUCGCAAGACCUUGCACUAUUGGAGCGGCCGAUAUCGGAUUAGCUAGUUGGUGAGGUAAUGGCUCACCAAGGCCGCGAUCCGUAGCUGGUUUGAGAGGACGACCAGCCACACUGGGACUGAGACACGGCCCAGACUCCUACGGGAGGCAGCAGUGGGGAAUUUUGGACAAUGGGGGAAACCCUGAUCCAGCCAUCCCGCGUGUGCGAUGAAGGCCUUCGGGUUGUAAAGCACUUUUGGCAGGAAAGAAACGGCACGUGCUAAUACCAUGCGCAACUGACGGUACCUGCAGAAUAAGCACCGGCUAACUACGUGCCAGCAGCCGCGGUAAUACGUAGGGUGCAAGCGUUAAUCGGAAUUACUGGGCGUAAAGCGUGCGCAGGCGGUUCGGAAAGAAAGAUGUGAAAUCCCAGGGCUCAACCUUGGAACUGCAUUUUUAACUACCGGACUAGAGUAUGUCAGAGGGAGGUGGAAUUCCACGU
rnacentral:rRNA from 1 species